GCCGUCCUGCUUUGAAACCCCGUCGUCUGCUCCUUCUUCUUCUUAAAAAAUAGAGUAGGGCGAGAAGGUCUCGGACAAGGUGUUCUCACUCUACAACUCUCUUCCCAAGAAAGGCAAGCCUCAGGGUCGCGAAGUCACCGUCUUGGCUGCUUUCCUCGUUUCCUCUCCUUCUCAAGAAUUGGAAGUUGUCGCGCUGGGAAGUGGGACCAAAUGUCUUGGGCGUUCACUCUUGAGCUCCAACGGUGAUGUCGUCAAUGAUUCCCACGCCGAGAUUAUAGCUCGAAGAUCUUUACUGAGGUUCUUCUAUGCACAGAUUCAGUGUCUUACUCAAGUUUAUAGUAAGCAAAGUGAUAGC